rnacentral:rRNA from 1 species
GUCCACGCUGUAAACGAUGUCGAUUUGGAGUUUGUGCCAUUAUGAGCGUGGGUUCCGAAGCUAACGCGAUAAAUCGACCGCCUGGGGAGUACGGCCGCAAGGUUAAACUCAAAUGAAUUGACGGGGCCAGCACAAGCGGUGGAGCAUGUGGUUUAAUUCGAUGCAACGCGAAGAACCUUACCUGGCCUUGACAUGCUGAGAAGUUUGUAGAGAUACGAAUGUGCCUUCGGGAGCUCAGACACAGGUGCUGCAUGGCUGUCGU